GACGUAGGGCGCGAGCGUUGUCCGGAUUUAUUGGGCGUAAAGAGCUCGUAGGCGGCUUGUCGCGUCGACUGUGAAAUCCCGCGGCUCAACUGCGGGUCUGCAGUCGAUACGGGCAGGCUAGAGUUCGGUAGGGGAGACUGGAAUUCCUGGUGUAGCGGUGAAAUGCGCAGAUAUCAGGAGGAACACCGAUGGCGAAGGCAGGUCUCUGGGCCGAUACUGACGCUGAGGAGCGAAAGCGUGGGGAGCAAACCGG
rnacentral:rRNA from 1 species